AUUGAACGCUGGCGGCAGGCCUAACACAUGCAAGUCGGACGAGUGGCGAACGGGUGAGUAAUGUCUGGGAAACUGCCUGAUGGAGGGGGAUAACUACUGGAAACGGUAGCUAAUACCGCAUACAAUGAGAUAUGCCCAGAUGGGAUUAGCUAGUGGGUAGGGUAACGGCUCACCAAGGCGACGAUCACUAGCUGGGCUGAGAGGAUGACCCGCAACACUGGAACUGAGAGACGGUCCAGACUCCUACGGGAGGCAGCGGUGGGGAACAUUGCACAAUGGGUGCAAGCCUGAUGAAGCCAUGCCGCGUGUAUGAAGAAGGCCUUCGGGUGGUAAAGUACUUUCAGCGGGGAGGCGUUACCCGCAGAAGAAGCACCGGCUAACUCCGUGCCAGCAGCCGCGGUAAUAC
rnacentral:rRNA from 1 species